GGGGGGGGGGGGGUGUCAAAUGCGUUCUCGUAAUUUUGUGCGGAUUAAAGGAAGUGCCGCACCACCAAUUGCCGGAAAAUCGAUUGUGGACUUGUAUGUGGAUCAGUGCAAGUGAAUCAGGGACAGUUGAUUUGUGCAGGAUCCAAGGGCAGGGAAGAGUGCGUGUAACAUGCAAGCCGGCGCAGUGAGUUUCAGGGUUCUUACCGAUAAGGCCGACGCUCAGCAUCAGAGGGGUCCCAGCCAUGGUCAAGCCAGCUCGGCUCUGCAGCAAGAAAGCCGGGACAAGCCGUCUCCGCAAUGAGUCUUCAACAGCAAUGCCACUGUGAAAGAAAAGAAUAUCAACUGACUGUAAUUUCCGCCGUGCUGUCACUGAAAUAAUGUAUCAUGUGGUAUUGUAUCUAGUAAUGUCACCAGCACUGUCAACCUUAAUUAUAGUUACCAUUGCUGUUGUCUCACUAACUUUACUGUUACUUAACGUAGAUCUUCAUGCGUCUGUUUCUUGGACUGUUCCUAUUUCAGAGGAAGUAACUUUUUUUUUGCCGAGAAUGCUGAAAGCAUUUCCGCAUUAUGAUCUUUCGGACCCUGGUGCCUCAGUUAUAAAUUGUCCGCUGCCUCUGCCAAUAUAUCCCGGGCGGAAGCGAGAGCCGAUGUGGAGAAAUAGCACGUUGUAGGUUUUCCAGGGUUGUCUGAAACUAUUUUAAAAACUUGUUUUGUUUGCAAAGACACAAGGAGUGAUGAUAAUAGAAAUGCAGCAAUUAGAUUAUUUUUUUAUAAGGCCCAUCAACACCUUAAAAGAUACAAUUACGUUUCUGCCAAUGUGUAAAUUGACAUUGUAACAAACGUGGUUCUCAAUCAAAAUGAAUUCCAACAAAGAAAUGUCCUUUAAAAUAUCAUCGUAAUACAAAUAUCAUCUUUUUUUGGUAUGUUUCUUCCUUUAAACGAGAAUAAAAAAUAAGUGAGACUAA